GACGAACGCUGGCGGCGUGCUUAACACAUGCAAGUCGAGCGGUAAGGCCCUUUCGGGGGUACACGAGCGGCGAACGGGUGAGUAACACGUGGGUGACCUGCCCUUAGCUCUGGGAUAAGCCUGGGAAACUGGGUCUAAUACCGGAUAUGACUCCAUGACGCAUGUUGUGGGGUGGAAAGCCUUGUGCGGCUAGGGAUGGGCCCGCGGCCUAUCAGCUUGUUGGUGGGGUGAUGGCCACCGAGGCGACGACGGGUAGCCGGCCUGAGAGGGCGACCGGCCACACUGGGACUGAGACACGGCCCAGACUCCUACGGGAGGCAGCAGUGGGGAAUCUUGCGCAAUGGGCGAAAGCCUGACGCAGCGACGCCGCGUGAGGGAUGACGGCC
rnacentral:rRNA from 1 species